rnacentral:rRNA from 1 species
GGUCAAGCAAUUAAGCGCACACGGUGGAUGCCUAGGCAGCCAGAGGCGAUGAAAGACGUGGUAGCCUGCGAUAAGGCUCGGCGAGGUGGCAAACAACCUGUGACCCGGGCAUUUCUGAAUGGGGAAACCCACUCAUCAUAAGAUGAGUAUCUUACGCYKAUAUAUWSAGCGUAAGAUACUCAUCWUAWGAUGAGUAUCUUACGCUGAAUAUAUAGGCGUAAGAGGCGAACCAGGGGAACUGAAACAUCUAAGUACCCUGAGGAAAAGAAAUCAACCGAGAUUCCCCUAGUAGC